UACGUAGGGUGCGAGCGUUGUCCGGAAUUAUUGGGCGUAAAGAGCUUGUAGGCGGUUUGUCGCGUCUGCCGUGAAAAUCCGGGGCUCAACCCCGGACUUGCGGUGGGUACGGGCAGACUAGAGUGUGGUAGGGGAGACUGGAAUUCCUGGUGUAGCGGUGGAAUGCGCAGAUAUCAGGAGGAACACCGAUGGCGAAGGCAGAUCUCUGGGCCGUAACUGACGCUGAGGAGCGAAAGCGUGGGGAGCGAACAGG
rnacentral:rRNA from 1 species